rnacentral:lncRNA from 1 species
GCAAAUCCAUGCGCGAAUCAAAUGUGUGCUAGGAUCAAGUCUCACACACAUGAUUACUCAUGGUACAAAAACGAAUGCCACAUCUUUAAUAUAUAACAGAGUUCUAUAUAAAAUAGUUAAAUAAUUACAUCAUACGGAGACAACGAUCUAGUAACCAUAGUUGACUGGGAGACGGCGACCUAGACCUCUCACAAACUCAUCGCGACAUCCUUCAUGCUCCUUAUCCUGCGGUACCUGUUCUUGACCUAGGGGGAUGUGAGUACAACAAGUGUGAGCUCACAUACAUUCAUCGCUCAACAAGUUUUGGGGAAUAAUGUGCAUGCGCUCACUUACAGUGGGGCUCAUGUGAAGUGUAAGGCUUACUAAAGGAGAUGGUUAAAGCUGAGCAUCACUUUUAAAGUUGGUCAAAGUUUUAUUAGCAGUUACUAAGUGUAACUAAAUACCAACCCUAAAUAAAUAAUAGAUCACAAUUGAUAAUAACACCCACAAUGCAAUGCAUAUGACAAAUUAAGUUUAAUUCCAUAAUUUAAUCAUGUGAGUGUCUGAAUCGCUCAUGACCAUGAGCACGGCUAAUAUACCAGUUUUACAAUCUACAGAGGUUGCACAUCUUUACCCCAAAAGUCAUGUUACCCAUUUGCCAAGGGAUCAUGACUUCUCAUUCAUCUCUUCCGAGGAGACGAGGUAGGGUAGCACUACGAGGACUUUACAAAGUUCCACUAGCUCCAGAAAACCCGCUACGGUUUCUGAGAAGGGCAAUAUAGGAAUCCCUCGUUCGAAAAGCCAUCAGAACAUGAUCGACCCAAGAACCUCCCUAUACGCAGCUCCUCUACUGCCCUUGCCCCUUUCAGGUAAGGUGGUCCUCUAGGUUUCCUAAUUAGUCAGCCAAGGGCAUCCCAUACCACCCUUGUGGUAGCACUAUUUUCUCGGGUGGUUCUCCAUGUUCCAAUUAACAUAAUAAUCGUAUCAUGAACAAUAAUUAAAAUAUCAACAACAUUGGAACAUGAUCAUGAUAUAACAUUAAUUUACCAAAACCAGGUAGAGCAAUAGCAAAUCUACCCAAUAGUUCUCUUAUUUGUAAGGUGUGGGAUAAACAAUACUAGGGAAACCUAUCGGGUCCAAUCAAAUUAACCUGAGCAUGUCAUAGUGAUUAACAGGAACAUUAUUAGGUAAAGAAAAGUGAUCAAGGGCACAACUUGCCUUAGACUCGAGAUUCCCAGGUACUUCACCAACCUUGCUGCUACUCGUAGCAAUACAUACAAAUAGACAAGAAGUACAUAAAAAUAAUAGUGCACCAAACAUGAGAACGAACAUCAUAAGAAUAUUCUACGUGUCGUAACAAGAUUGUAGGUUUGAGAAUCACUAAAUUCGGAGUUAUGGUUGAAGAAUUAUGAUUUUCCGAAGGUUUAGGUGUUUACUAUAAAACAAUUGAGGUACAAGAUUUUAGCCAUAGGUUUCAUAUUAUUACAAGGUUACUAGAUGAUAAACAAUAUUAAUAUGAGAUUAAUGCAACUGGAACGGAUUAAAAAGGAGUUAAAAUGAAUUACUUAUGAAUUAAACAAGUGUCUGGAAUUAUUUUUAUACUACGAAUCAUUUUCUAUUUUAAUUUAUCUCAUUUUAUUUACUAUCUGGACUGCGGGCACUAUUCUUGAGAAGCUCAGGGUCUGUUUUGUUAAUUCCAGGGCCUGACAGUGAUGAUCUUUCUAUAGCUCAGGACUGCGGGUUGAUAAACCAAACAUACAGAGUCUCUUUUGCAAAUAUCUAUGGCCGAAGGGGUAUGGAGGAUUCUGAGCCGCAUGAUCUAACAUCGGUGGCCUAGAUUAGACUUAACCCUAUAUGACCCGGUAUGCAAUCUCUCCCACACGACUUGGAAGAGACGACCCUGAUUCUAUUUGGUUGGAUUCGAUCUCACCCGUGCACCCAUGAUCCAACGAUCCCGGUUUACUAACCUAAAUCGUUAUACUCUCCUGUUAAUCCACUCCCUUCAUCGGUCGAUCGACAGCCCCAGUUUUUCUUCUUCCUCAACGCCUAGUCACAUUGGUGGCCUCCACACCGCGACCGCCAUUACCGGUGUGCAGCUUCCGCCACCUAAGUGCCCCGCUAACAGUUCGACUAGAUGCUACUUAAGAUAGAGGGCAAGACGAACAACAUGGAGACACUCACCGGUGACCGAAACCGCGGCGACAUUGACCCCGACCCAAAGCGGCUUGCCAACGAAUUCUAGACUCCAGUACACUUCGGCGAGCACUGAUGCACCCAUCCGAGCAUAGGCAAGAUCCGCCAAGAUCCUUCGUGAGCCGGUGGACGUCUCGAGUCUCCACAUAGGCACCGAACGAUGGAGGAAGUAGGGGCGACGGCGGCGGCAAUCCCUCACCAAUGGAGGUGGCGCUCCGGUUGUCUUUCUUGGCACUAGAGUCGAGCGCAUGAAAGGUGGGAGGUGAAGGAUAUGUG